GCAGAGGCUGAAGAAGAGUUGGAGGCUGAUUCAGCCUGGUGGGGAGCGAGCUGAGGAGGAGCAGUCUGGGAAGAAGAACUCUUGAUGGCCUGCUUCCCAUCCUCCAUCCUGGAAGACUGAUCUGAAACCCCAGGAGGAGGUCCUCUGAGCCCUGAGGCAGAGAUCUCUCACCUGGAAGAUGGGUCUAAUGACUGCGCCCCACACACACCAGAGAGGACUGCAGAUAGUGCGGGAUGAGAGGAAGAUCUCUGGCCCUGGAGACAGCAUCAUCAAGCGAAAACGUAUGAGGAAGAAAAUAGCAGAUGAGAAGAAUCAACCAAAUUCCGGAAGCUGGAAGGCAGAUGGAAGAAGGCCCUUGAAUGAUGCCAGCACCUUGAUAUUGGACUUUCCAGCCUCCAGAACCAUGAGCCAAUACAUUUCUGUUCCAUAAAAAUUACCCAGUUCCAGGUAUUCUGCUAUAGCAGCACAAAAUGGACUAAAACAAUGUUGGCACAAGACUCAGUGCUGGGCCUGGCAUGCAACAGGUCCUUGGAGUGGCGUGCUGUGUGGAUAAUGAAUAUUGGGGAAGGCAUCUCUCUCCAGCCCCUCUCAAGCUUUCUGUAGUCACUGGUCCACUCUGUAUUGCUAUGAAGAAGCUCAAGACCAGCCUGUAUCACUCGGGGUCCUGGCAGGAACCAGGUGCCACACUCAAACUGAGUAAUUGAAGAGGGUUUAAUAUGGGAGUUAUUUACAUAGGUGUGGGCUGGUGUAGCUGCCCAUAUGCCCUCAAAAUCACCUCUACAUGGCAAUAGCUACUUACUGCUAACAGAGUCUCUCUCUCAUUGCUGCAAAUAUUUUCUAGCCAUGCAAGAAACUCAGCCGGUCAUGUUGAACAAACUAAGAGUGCCAGGAAGUUAAUGUCCUGGAAGCAUUGCCAGAGGGGAGGGGGCAGUUAGAUUCCCCAGCUUCCUCGCUCCUCUGCUGGGUUAAGCCUGCAACAUAUUCAUCAUCUCCCAGAGUGCUGCCCAGGGAUAGAGCUCCAGGUGCUCAGUGUGGUGACCUGCUCAUGUCAGCUUCUUCCCCUUUCCUGUCUUGUUUCGCACCCACAUCCUUCCCAUGUUUCCUCUUCCCAAAUAAACUACUUGCAUUGAAAUCUUUGUCUCAGGCUCUGCUUCUGGGGAAACCUGAAC
rnacentral:lncRNA from 10 species